rnacentral:rRNA from 1 species
AGCGAACGCUGGCGGCAGGCUUAACACAUGCAAGUCGAGCGGAGCGGCAGACGGGUGAGUAACGCGUGGGAACGUACCUUUAGGUUCGGAAUAACUCAGGGAAACUUGUGCUAAUACCGAAUGCCUUUAGAGCGGCCCGCGUCUGAUUAGCUAGUUGGUGAGGUAAAGGCUCACCAAUGUGACGAUCAGUAGCUGGUAUGAGGGGAUGAUCAGCCACAUUGGGACUGAGACACGGCCCAAACUCCUACGGGAGGCAGCAGUGGGGAAUCUUGCGCAAUGGGCGAAAGCCUGACGCAGCCAUGCCGCGUGAAUGAUGAAGGUCUUAGGAUUGUAAAAUUCUUUCACCGGGGACGCGGUACCCGGAGAAGAAGCCCCGGCUAACUUCGUGCCAGCAGCCGCGGUAAUAC